rnacentral:rRNA from 1 species
UACGGAGGGAGCUAGCGUUGUUCGGAAUUACUGGGCGUAAAGCGCACGUAGGCGGCUUUGUAAGUUAGAGGUGAAAGCCUGGAGCUCAACUCCAGAAUUGCCUUUAAGACUGCAUCGCUUGAAUCCAGGAGAGGUGAGUGGAAUUCCGAGUGUAGAGGUGAAAUUCGUAGAUAUUCGGAAGAACACCAGUGGCGAAGGCGGCUCACUGGACUGGUAUUGACGCUGAGGUGCGAAAGCGUGGGAGCAAACAGG